rnacentral:miRNA from 1 species
AACUCGUUCUGCUGGUUGUUAUG